GGGGUGUAAGAAGGACAUUUGUGG
rnacentral:piRNA from 1 species